rnacentral:lncRNA from 1 species
GCUUGGCGAACUCCUUGAGGACAUGGGCUUUGUUUUCUGUUCCAUUUUACCCUCCACUGUGCCUUCGCAGGGCUUCCCUUUAUCCUUGUAGCUUUCCCAUUGAGUGUUUUCAAUGGGAAAUGUCUAACUGCUCUGUGGGUGUACACCACGGCCAGUUGCUAAUUUUGGAACACUUGUGAAUCCUGGGCCCAGAGUCAUGACCAAUACUGGUGAGUCAUACUCCCCAUACAGAGCUCCCUACACACUGCCUGUCAGAAAAAAAAAAAAAAAAAAAAAAAGCAAAACAGAAGUUGCCAUCUCAUCCUUUGCUCUAGUUGCCUCAUUUUACCUUCUGAAAUGAUGGAGGAAGUUCUGCUGAGGAUGGGGUCAGGGUAACAGCAGACUUCUGAAUAACUCUGCACCCCCAGAAACCUGCAAAGGACACAGGCCCUCUUGGUGGUCUCCUCCUGGAUGCCUUGCUUUCUCCUGGAAGAGUCCUCCCUUCCACCCCGGAUAUCACUGUGAACCUGAUGAAACUAAAGGGAUUUGUGCUUGCUGAGUAAGAGCUUCUACAAGGCACCGCCCCACUCUAUUGAGCAGUGAUCUUCAUUCACACCUUGACUACCCACUGCCCAUUUCCCCUUACAUGACUCUUCACCCCUGAGUACAUAUAUGUCAUGUACUGGCCUUCAAGAGUGAUCUUUCAUUUCAGCUUUCAUUUCUUCCAGGAUUCCCCAGGAUCAACCAUCUGAGCAGAUACCUUGGAAUGUCCCCAGAUUUCAGAGGUAAGUCACUAGUACUGUCCCACAGUAGUAGACAUCAUUUCUGCCCUGCCCCUGUGGUCCUAACCAUAUGCAGUGACAUCAAAAUCUGGUGUCAUAUCUCAUGGAAGACCCAUACCCCCAAAGCCCUUCAUCCCAUUCCCUUUAUCCAGUGCUCAUAAACCAUGUGAAUGACCUGGCCUGCCAGGUAAAGGCCUUGAGCCCUGCUCCUUUUUCAGCCACUCCCAAUCAAUCUGCCAUCAUCUCUUCCAGGAAGCUUCCUGCCUUCUCUCCCAAGCCAAGCUGGAUUAGGGACCCCUACAUUGAGCUCACCCUGUACUUAUCUCUAUCGUUAACCACUGUACUGGAAAGUCUGUCAACUUGGGCGUGCAAACAACCAUCCUAAGAGCCUUUCUUGCUCUGAUAGGGAGAAAAAAAGGCUUCGGGGGCUACCAGAGGAGAAGAGGCCAUCAGCACUAAUGAAGGCUGAAAAAAACCACAGCUGAAAGGGGUCCCGUUAUGCAGAAUGUGGGGACUGCCCCUGAGAUGUUUUUGUUUUUAAAACACAAUUGUGCCAGCUGAUCUCAGUACACAUUUCUAGAAAAAUCACAGCCUAUGACAUCACAGACCUUCCUUUCAGCCUCGGACCAGCAGCAACACACUCUGAAGUAGGUCUCAGAAGACAAAAAGCUGAAAUCAACUCAUGCUUCCUGCUACACAGAAUCCACUGAGAGGAAAAGGAAACUUCACCGAAACUUCAGAAAGCUACAGAAAUGACAUCCAUUUUCACAAUCCCAGAAGGAAAGAUGCAUCUGAAGGGAAUAAAAACAGAGCAAUGGAAGAGUAUUUGUUAAAAUAAAUGGCUUUGACAGGGCAUUUUCUCUAAAGGUCUCCUUUGCCUCAAAUAGUACUCCUGCCUUCAGUCCAUCUUGCAUGCCACCCAGCUGUGGGCAUCCUGGCAGUUGCUGCCAUGUCCUUGCCUAAAAGCCUCCACCCCCAACCAACCCACCCACCCCACAACUGGUCUCCCUUUCUCUGGCUUCUUGGAGCAAUAAGACCCCCUUCUCCCAGUGGGGGAUCUUUCUGAAAGGUAAACAUGAACCCACUCCUCUCCUGCUCAAAAAUAGUGGCCGGCUCUCGAUCUCCCCAAAGAUAGAAAUGCACACUUUGGCCGGAUGUGGAGGUUC